rnacentral:rRNA from 1 species
UUGAGAGAAGGGAUGACACAGUAGGAUAAGCUAAGCACACUGUUGGUUAUGUGUGCCCAAGCAUUGAGGCAGUCAAAGUAGGCAAAUCCGCUUUGAUAAUGCUGGGAUGUGAUGGGGAGCGAAAUUUAGUAGCGAAGUAGCUGAUUUCACACUGUCAAGAAAAGUCUCUAUCGAGGUUAAAGGUACCCGUACCGCAAACCGACACAGGUGGGUGAGGAGAGUAUCCUAAGGCCAGCGAGAGAACUGUUGUUAAGGAACUCGGCAAAAUGACCCCGUAACUUAGGGAUAAGGGGUGCCACCAUCAGGUGGCCGCAGAGAAUAGGCCCAAGCGACUGUUUACCAAAAACAUAGGUUUCUGCUAAGUCGCAAGACGAUGUAUAGGAGCUGACGCCUGCCCGGUGCUGGAAGGUUAAGGGGAUCUGUUAGAG